UUCACAUAUCUCCUCUGAGGACACCUAAAUCAUUUUUCAAGACUCCCUUGUGCAUAGGGUUAUAGGUGAUUCUGGCUUACUGUUGGUUGUAUGAUUGCAAAUCACUAUGGUUGUUCAGAAAACCUGGUUUUCGUUCCUUAUUUGAGACUUAGGUAGCUUGGGAAACAUUCUUCUAUCUAUAGUGUUGUUCCACUAUAGGUCAUUCUCGAGAUGGAGAGAGAUGGUAUACAAUCUUCUUGGAAUAUUCUGAAUACGUAUGAAUAAUUUUGAUCUUGGAGACAUUGGUGGUCAUUAUCGUUGUAUCAUUGCUAGCACUACCCCUACUAGGAUUUUGUUGUGCUAAAUUGUGUUAUCGUGCUUGAAUGGGCCAUCAAACCAAAGCUGAUUGUUGCAUUCAGGUGGGACAUCACAUUCAAGGAGAGAGUUGUUGUUGUUGAAGAUAAUAGUUUACAGUUGGGUCAAUCUAACAGCUUAAGCUUUUAGAUUAAAUAGUUCAGUAUGGUAUAAUAUGGUGCAAGAGCGGGUAAAUGUCCUGGUUCAAGUCUCAUUUUCAACUAUGAGGGGAUGUGUUGAAGAUAAUAAUUAAAUUAUAUACAUUUGGCUCGAUUUAACGGCCUAAGCUUUUAUAUCAAGUGAUUCAGUAGUUGGGUUUGACUAGGUCAUCAUAUUGAACCGAGAUAUCAAGUUGUUGGUCGUUAAACAAAGUUGGACCUUGAGUCAAAUCUGCAGUGACCAGUUUUUGUGCUCUGCCCACGCUGCGCCAACACCAAAAUUCAUCACAAUCAAAGCCUAUCCAAAUGUUUUGAUUGUGUAUUUAUUCCAGUAAACCUCUCCUCCAUUUUCUGGCACAAGUUUUUCUCGUUCUUCAAUGCUUCUAUUGUCAUUAAGAUCCUCACCGUUAUCACCAGCAUUAACCACCAGCUCCUGUUAGAUCCAUGAUUUGGUACUAAUUGGGUGUGGCAGCAUAUUUACGACUCUAAAGAUACAAGAGAAAAGUUCAAGAAUCUUGAUGGAACUGUUUUUCUUUUCUUUCCUUUUUCUUUUUCUUUUUCUUUUCUUUUCUUUCUUUUCUUUCUUUCUUUUUUUUUUUUUUGAACAGCUGAUUAAACUAAUUGAAUGUGUUGAAUUUACUAAUUAGAAAACAUGGAUAUCACUCUUCUUAUAUAGGCAUAUAGGCAAUAACCAUAGAGUAAUCCUAUAUUACUA
rnacentral:lncRNA from 1 species